AACACUGACUUUGGCCAUCACGAGAAUAUGAUUGCAGAGAAAUCCCUAACCACAACCUUCUCAUUAUUCCAACUCAAUCUAAAGUAGAUUGAUGUUUAUGAUAUUCAUAUAGAUAUAAUCAAUCAAUCAUUCAAUCUAUCUAUGACGACUAGAAAUCAUCAUAAAAAUCCUCAGGAAAUUUUCCUUCAACGAUACUACAAAUGGAACAGAACAUCAAGUAUUGU
rnacentral:lncRNA from 1 species